UACAGAGGUGGCGAGCGUUAUUCGGAAUUAUUGGGCGUAAAGGGCGCGUAGGCGGCUUGACAAGUCCCGGGUGAAAUCCCUCGGCUCAACCGAGGAACUGCCUUGGAAACUGUCUGGCUUGAGGCCGGGAGAGGGUAGUGGAAUUCCCAGUGUAGCGGUGAAAUGCGUAGAUAUCAGGAAGAACACCGGUGGCGAAGGCGGCUCUCUGGGCCUUACCUGACGCUGAGGAGCGAAAGCGUGGGUAGCGAACAGG
rnacentral:rRNA from 1 species